AUGUCUCUUGAGCCAUCCGGAGCUCCUCACGUAAUUACUUUUUCAAUUCGGACAAGUUUUGAUCCAUUUUCACGCUACUGUGCUGUUUCGGAUUUUACACUUUGGAUCGAAAUUUGGCUGAACCGAAUUGGUUUUUGGAAUCAUUGGCACGUUUCUAUGUCACUUUAA